ACUUUCAGUGUUCUGUUGCUUUAGACGGCUCGACCUGUUGCUGCACAUCCACACACCCCCUGAGCUUUCACUCCGAGGUGUGUGCUUCAUUCAUUCACUCAUUCAUCCAUACUGGCAAGUUAUUUUCCAAGCAAACUUUUUUCCCAAGACCCGUGAAGUUUCUCCGAGAGUUCCGUGCAGGAUUUCCAGCGGACCUUCCUAUACAGUAUAUAUACAGAUAUAUAUAUAUAUCUAAGGGAGCUGUGUGUGUGUUGGUUGUGUGUGUGUCCUUCAGUGGGACUGUAUAGCUGCAUGACAGAGGUAUCUUUGAGUUGUUAAUCCUGGAAUGGAGCCUGCUGGAUGAGAACAUGUGGCCUUACAUGCAGGAACAGGACUGACUUUCACUGAUAAAAGGAGGAAAAAGUCACAGCUGAAUAAAGCGAACCUGAGCAUCGCGCUGAAGAUCGGGCCUGCUGGAGGAGAGAUAAGAUAACGCAAGAGGAACGACUGAUCGAGGAGAAGAGAGAGAGAGAGAGAGAGAGAGAGAGAGAGAGAGAGAGAGAUGAUGGAUCAUUUGUAUUUGUGGAUCUUGAUCUUGUCUCUUUCUCUCUCCUAUCAGAGUGUGUCUGCACAAGCUGAAGAGUGCCGCACAGCCUUGCCCGCGGACAUCGUGUUCUUGGUGGACGAGUCGUGGUCAGUGGGUCCUUCCAGCUUCAGCCAGAUUAAAGAGUUCAUUGCUGACAUUAUCCGAUCCUUCCAGAGCAGCGUGAUAGGAUCCGAAGGCGUCCGCUUCGGGGUCACUUUAUAUGCAGAUGUUCCAAGGAUGCGGGUCGCUCUGACCGACUACUCCACCCUGGAGGAGAUCUUAAACGUGGUGGAGGAGCUGCUGUACGAAGGAGGAGGCAGUCGGACAGGCACGGCCCUCGAGUUCCUCGUGGAGUCUGUCUUUAGUCCGUCUAUUGUCCGGGAAAACACUCCGAAGAUCGCAGUGCUCAUCACAAACGGCAGAUCGGAUGACGUGAUCGACGGAGCGGUUAAAGCACUGGCGGAGAGUGGCAUCUCUCUUUUCGCAGUAGGUGUGAGGAACGCUGAUCCGGAGGAGCUGAGGAGAAUAGUGAGCAAGCCUCAUGAGGAGCACCUGAUGCUCAGCCCUGAUUCGUCCUACCUGGAGAACCUGCUGCCCAAAAUUUCCCGCAGAGUGUGUUUCACUGCCUCCGAACCUCCUCGACCUGUUAAACACACGCAUCCGGCGACGGAGAAGGUGGUCGGCCCCAGGGACGUGCAGGUCAGCGAGCUGAGCUACAACUCUCUGCAGCUCUCCUGGAGUCAGGCAACUGGAGACGUGACAGGUUACAGGCUGCUGAUCGCUCCUGUGUCUCCGAAGGGCCAUCUGCUCCCGAUAAAACCCAGACAGAUCGAUUUGAAGGCAGAUGUGGGAAAUACCAAAGUAACAGGGUUGACCCCGAAGACCGAGUACUCUCUUACCAUCUACGCCAUCUACCCCGGACUUAUCGGAGAAUCCUCCACCGUAACCGUAGAGACGGUUCCUGUACCACCGGUGGCAAACUUCCGUUUGAUCGAGGAAGGGCUGUUCUCCUUGCGCUUGGCCUGGACGUCUCCGCUCGGCCAAGUGGACACCUACAAAAUCUUCAUCCCGAGAUCCGACAGACCCGGGAUGAUCUAUGAGCAGAUGCUGCAGGGCGAUGUCUCCUCUCACGUGAUCGAUAGCUUAGAGGAGGAUAAGACGUACACGGUUAGCAUCUACGCCAUUUACCCCGAAGGACCCAGCGAGACUGUGUCUGUCAUCGGGAGAACAUUGAAGCUGGUCCCUGUUCAUCAACUGUUGGCUGAUAACGCCACGACGGACACGGUGCAGACUCGCUGGCUCUCGGUGAGAGGAGCGUCAGGCUACAGACUCACCUGGGCAUCCUCAGAGGGUCACAUUGAAAGUGUCAACCUUGGAGGGAAAUAUCAGUUCUACAUGAUUCAGGGUCUUCAAACCGGAACCGAGUACACUAUCAGCAUCAACCCUGUGUUCGUGGAUGUAGAAGGACCGGUGACGUCUACCAAAGUCAAGACAUUGGAGAGUAGUGUGGUACAGACUCUGAGGGCCACUGCGGUAAGCACCAGCAGCGCUUUGACUUCAUGGAACGCUGUUUCAGGAGCCACAGGGUACAGGUUGGCCUGGGGUCCCACUGCAGAAUUUGCUGGAAGAGAUCGACCCAGGCAGCUAGCUCUGAAUAGAAGCAUGACAGAGUAUUUACUAAAAAAUCUGGUCCAUGACACAGAGUACGUCAUUUCCCUUUACGUCCUGUUUGGCCCUGUGGUGGGCCCCGGCAUCACCGCCACCUUCAGGACAUCUCCCCUUGGUUAUGUGUCUAAUUUCAAGGUGACAUCUUACACCAGUUCUUCUGUAAGCGUGGAAUGGAGCGCCAUUGUAGGAGCCACUGAGUAUAAACUCACCUGGAGCUCAGAGGGAGUCAGCGCACAAAGCCGAUAUGUGGAUCACAGCGUUUUACAUCAAAGCAUCACCGGCCUCCAGCCAAACACACUGUACACCAUCAGCAUCCACGCUCUGUACGGGAACAUGGAGGGGCCAGAAAUCUCUCUCACACAGAUAACAGCAGCUUCUUCGAUUGAUUCAGAGCAAAUCGAGACAGUAAAGGAACUCAAGGUGGUCGAUAUCGGAGUAAACUCUUUUAGUCUGUCUUGGAGGAAAACACCUGGAGUUACCGGCUACAAAAUCAGCUGGACCCCAUUUAAUGGUGGAGAAAAACAGAGUGCGACCGUUUCCUCAUCCAUCACAUCAUACACCAUCACCAGACUGCCAGCCAGCUCCGCCUACAAGAUCCAGGUUUCCUCUUUAGUCAGGGAUCGGGAAGGAAGUUCAGCUACAGUCACCGCACGGACCUUGGAUCUUCCUAAAGUGAACGGUUUCAGUGCUCUGAACAUCACUGACGAUAGCGCUGCACUCAACUGGACCAGAGUUACAGGAGCUUCUGGGUAUCUUCUGUCCUGGAGACAUAUAUCAGAGCUCCAGAGUACCACUGAAAAAUUGGGACCUGGUUUUACCUCAUUUAAGAUAAAAAACCUGCAGUAUGGAAGAACUUACAUCUUCAACAUCCGGCCCCUCUACGGAGAGGUAGAGGGUCCGGUGACGACGGUUACCAAACGGAUCGUAGGUGCAUCCCACCUCAUUCCUGUCCAGCAUGCAACAUCAGCCCCUGUUCCAGCAAGCAAAGAGUUCGGCAUCAACACUACAGCCAUCAACGACACCAGCAAGACCAGCACUACUCAGAGACCUACAGCCAAGCCAAACCUGACGGUCACUAAAACCUCCCAAAGAAUAACCACCUUCUCCACUGCAGCUAGAGACCAAACCACUCUCUCCAGUCCCCCAUCCGGACCGGUGUGUGGCAGGGUGAAAGCAGACAUUGUGUUUCUGGUUGAUGAGUCCUGGAGCAUCGGUUCUAAUAACUUUGGAAAGCUGAAGGACUUCCUGUUUAGGAUUGUGACUUAUUUCCCUGUAAUCGGGCCACAAGGCACCCAGAUAGCUGUGGUUCACUACAGUGAUCAGCCCAGGAUCGAGUUCAGCCUUAACACACAUAGAGAUCGCAGCUCUGUGCUGAAAGCCCUCAGGCAGGUUCACUACGGAGGGGGAAACACCAGAACAGGUCGAGGGAUCAGUUAUGUUCUCAGGGAGUUGUUCCGGGAGUCUCUGGGGAUGAGGCAGAAUGCUCCUCACGUACUGGUCCUGGUGACAGAUGGGAAAGCCCAGGAUGAUGUUGAACCACCCUCCAGAGUAGCACAUGUUCUAGGAGUGAGUGUGCUGGCCAUCGGUAUUGCAAAUGCUGACAUUCAAGAGCUUAAAAAAAUAACUUCAGCAACCACCUACAAGAACGUCUUCUUCGCUGCUGACUUUGAUGAUCUGCCCUCCAUCGAGAGAGAGCUGAUCAGCAGCAUCUGCAGCGAGGCUCUGAUGUCCGAGUUUCAGCACCAUAAAGAGCCUGCCCAACUGGACAUACAAACCACUGACCCGGUGUCUGUUUCCAAGCCCGAGGGUCCCUGUCCAAUCCAGUGCAAGGGUCAAAAAGGAGAAAAGGGGGAUGCGUUCGGACACGGCGGUCUGCGCCCGAAGGUAGACGGCGAUGAUUACGAUCCGUUCACCUUAAAGGCUAAAGGGGAGAAAGGAGAGAGGGGUCUUCCAGGAACUGAUGGCAUACCCGGUGUACCGGGACGACCAGGUCGAACUGGACCUCCUGGUUCUGCUGGACUGAGGGGUUCUCCGGGUGUUCCAGGGGAUAUGGGACCACCUGGUAUUACAGGACCGAAAGGUCAGCGAGGGGAGAGAGGAGAACCUGGGUAUGUAAUGGGAAGCAUGGACGUCCCCCCGGGACGUAAAGGAGAACCAGGAUCGUCUGGUCCUCAAGGGCCUCCAGGUGUUCCAGGCGUCUCAGGACCUCCAGGACUCCCAGGUCAGCCUGGACCACCUGGAAUACAAGGCAUUUCUAUAAAGGGUGAGACCGGAGAGCUUGGCCUUAAAGGCCCACGUGGCAAGCCAGGUCCCAAAGGAGAAAAAGGGGAAGUUGGAGAAAAUGGUCAAGCCGGCUUACCUGGAACGAUAGGAGUGGAUGGAAAUCCUGGGCUUCCUGGACCUAAAGGUGAAAAAGGAGAAAAUGGAGUUGGAAUUCCUGGUGUCCAAGGUGUGCAGGGUUCUCCUGGAGAAAAGGGAAAUAUGGGGCUUUCAGGGCCAGUUGGACCAAAGGGUGAGCAAGGAAUACAAGGAGCGACAGGACCGAGUGGCCUGAGGGGGAAAAGAGGUUUGAAAGGAGAGCAAGGACUCAAGGGUGAUCGUGGAGAUAUUGGGCCUAUAGGACAUCAAGGAUUAGCAGGUCUGCAUGGAGCUGUUGGACCAAAGGGUGAGAAGGGAGAACAUGGAGCACCAGGAGAUCCGGCGAAAGGCAUACUCGGACCCCCUGGCAAGAAGGGUGCAAGGGGGGAUAUCGGCCCGGACGGACCUAUCGGACUUCAGGGAAUUAAAGGUGUCCAAGGAGACAAAGGUGAAAAGGGCAGUCCUGGCUUCGGGAUUCCCGGACAGCCGGGUCCUAAGGGUGAGACCGGUGAGAGGGGUAAUGUUGGAUUAUCAGGGAAACCCGGACCUAAGGGCAACGAUGGCUUUAAAGGAGAAAAGGGUAACAUGGGUCUCCUCGGAAACCCUGGACCUCCUGGUCUAAGAGGUAAAGAUGGUUUGUCUGGCUCAAGAGGAGACCGUGGACUUCAGGGAGAGCCGGGUCCUCCGGGGCAGCCAGGAGAGAAAGGCAUCAGGGGUCCUCUUGGUCUCCCGGGACAACCAGGAGGUACCGGUGAGAAAGGAGAUGCUGGGAAAAUUGGGUUUCCGGGUCCCGAAGGUGCCAAAGGAGAGAAAGGCGAGCCUGGGAAACCUGGUCCACCUGGAAAUUAUCAAUUGUCCACGUCAGACAACAUCGGAACCAUUAAGGGUGAGCCAGGUGUUCCGGGUGAGCGUGGGCUCCCUGGUCUGCGUGGAGAUACAGGACUACCAGGACCACCAGGUCCACCAGGACAGCCUGGAACUUCAACAUUUGUAGACCUUGCGGAUGUAUCUGACAGAGACGGACUGAACGGUUUAAAAGGGACGCACGGACCAAAGAGUGAAUCUGGGAAGAAAGGAGAACAAGGAGCUAAAGGAGAGAAAGGAGAGCCUGGGCGAGUUGGAGUUGCUGGCAUGCCUGGUUUACCCGGUGUUCCUGGGAAACCCGGUGUAGAUGGCAAGCGUGGACUGGCAGGAAAAGAUGGACAAGAAGGACUCAGGGGUAGUGAUGGGAAAAAGGGAGAGAAAGGAGAACCUGGUGUCGUUGGUAAAGAUGGACCAAAGGGAGAUGCAGGUCCUCCAGGUUUGCCCGGUCCUCCUGUUGUAGUGCCAGAGGGUGCCUUACUCGAUGAUUUUAAAACAGCAUUUUCAGGAACAAUGGGUCCUCCUGGAGCAACAGGUUCUGCUGGCAUGAAGGGAGAAAAGGGAGCUCCAGGAGAGAAGGGUGACAUCGGUGUGCCAGGAAGAAGCGUUGAAAUGAGGGACAUCGAGGCGUUAUUUGACUCGUAUGGAAUUAAGCUUUCCCUGCUGAAGGCCUUAAUCGAUAGGCUGCUCCAGGACGGUAUGGAGGAACUACUGCAUGAAAUCAGUAUGAAGAAAAGAACCAAAGGACAGAGGAUAAACCCCGACUCCAACAUCAUCACUGAAUACACUAGCUCAGUGAAGUACGAACUCUCGAGUGAGCCGCAGACUGACGGACUCCUGCCCGAAGACGUGGAUCUAAACGAAUCCUACUCAGUUUUACUAAAUGAAACAGAAGAUGCUGGAACUCUUUGGAAUGCCACCGGGGAUAUGGAUGAAGAUCUGAGCAGAACAGAGGGCAGGAUGGAAGUGGAAGAAGAAGAAGAAGAAGAAGAAGGAGAGGCUCUGCUAGAAAUCUUCACGCAAGCGCCGUCUGUUUUUAGUACAGCUCAGGUGAACACCUCUUCAGACACGAUUGCUACCACAAAAGCAGAGGUAAGUACGGAGAACGUCCUCCACAUUCAGGAGGACACGGCGAAGAAGACAUCUGAGAAGAAGAAGGGCCGAGAGAAAGGAAAGGGUAAAGGGAAUAAAGGACGACAUAAACGACACAGGAAGCGAUCGGAAGCACUAGACCCAGAUGAGGAAGAGGUCGAGGAGGAGAUUUAUGAUGGUGAUGAUUAUGAUGAUGAUGAUGACGACGGCGGUGGUGGUGGUGGUGGUGACGAAGAGUAUGAAUAUGAGAAUGAGCUUGUUACAGAAGAGACUGUUCUCUCCUAUGGGGAAGAGACAGAGCAGAUGAUCUACACAACCACAGAUCCUUUCCUCUCGAUAUCAGCGGUCACGCAGCAGCAGAGCGAAAGCCUCAUAUCCUCAGAGCUCGAUACACCGGCUACAGAAAAGCGGGUCAUGUCCAGUUCUGAUGCACACAGAACAAUGCCUAAAACGAAGCGGAGCGCCCCCUCUCCAGAUUACGAGCUCUCAAAUAGUUCAAGAAAGAAAAAGAAGCAAAAAAAAAAGAAGCUGAAAAACAAGGAAGAAACUGAGGAUGAAAUAUAUGAGGAAGCACAUCUAGAAAGAGAAAUGGGGAGACAGGAGGAAAGAGAGACAGGGGUGGAAGAUUGGGAGAUGGACGAGGAAAAGGAACGAGGGACAUGGACCGAGCAGGAUCUCGAGCGGAGCUCUGGAGACAGAGACGACGAGAGGAGCAGCGAGAACGGGGAAGACGAGGACUGGAACUGGGAUGAAGAGAGAGAGCGAGACAGGGUGGAGAUGGAGAGAGAAAGAAUCGAGCUAGAACAUGAGAAAGAGGAGGAGUUGGAAAGGGAGGCAUUUGCAGAGAGAGAGAGAGGUAGGGAGAGAGAGACGGAGCGAGAGGACGUCAUGGAGAGACAGAGGAUGGAGUUGGAGAUGAUGGAGAGGGAGGAAGACAUGAGGGCUCACAUCUCUCAGUAUGAACUUCUGAAGGGACCUCCGGGUGAAAAUGGUUUACCAGGACCCAAGGGUGAGAUUGGAGAAAAAGGACAAAAGGGCGAGCCUGGAAUAGGACACCGUGGUCCUGUUGGUCAGGCUGGUCCACCUGGGCAAAAGGGUGAGCCUGGAGAACCAGGACCACCUGGAGCACAAGGCAUUCAGGGAAUCCGGGGCAACCCUGGUAUUCCAGGUACACCGGGUCACAAUGGUGCACCAGGAGAACCUGGAGAGCCGGGUAAACAGGGUGACAGAGGAAGACGAGGAAAAAAUGGAUCACCAGGCUCUCCUGGUGUUUCUGGACCUCCAGGAAAAGAAGGGAUUCCAGGUCCACUAGGAGUGAAGGGCAACAAGGGCGACAGCAUCCCCGGGGAGCCAGGAGAGAGGGGCGUGGCUGGACUUCCAGGACGCAGGGGCACCAAGGGCCCUAUGGGGGUCAGAGGACCACCAGGACUCGUGGGUCCUAAAGGUCUCUCUGGCAUAAAAGGAGAAAAGGGUGAUAAAGGCUUACCAGGCAACCGAGGCGAGAAAGGGAGUCCUCUGUCCAUACCUGGGCCACGUGGAUAUAAAGGCAGUAAAGGAGAAGCGGGUGAUCGAGGAUCUCCGGGAUUUGAUGGCGAUAAAGGGGAGAAAGGAGAGGAUGGACCUCCGGGAGUGAAGGGUUUAAAGGGAGAAGCUGGGGUCAAAGGAAGUAUGGGGCUUUUUGGAGCACGAGGGCCUGUAGGACAAAAGGGAGAUGCAGGAGAAGCAGGCACCAAUGGAGAAGCGGGUCAUAACGGAGAGAACGGACUGCAGGGUGAAAAAGGCGACAAGGGAGACAUGGGAGAGCGAGGACCAAAGGGUGAAGAGGGAGAGAAAGGAGAAAUUGGUUUACAAGGAGACCAAGGCAACAAAGGAGAACAGGGUUUCCGAGGUAUGCCAGGACGGAUGGGCCUCCCAGGAAUAGAUGGGGAACCGGGCAGUAUUGGAGACCCCGGAGCACCGGGCAUUCCCGGACUAAACGGACCCACGGGACGAAAAGGUGAAAAAGGCGAUGGAGGUCUGCAUGGACUUGAUGGUGAACCAGGUAAAAAGGGAGAGAAGGGAUCUACAGGUUUUCCAGGAUUCACAGGUUUUAAAGGAUCUUCAGGUGCACCAGGAGCAACUGGAGCUCCUGGCAGAUCUGGUCCAGUUGGACCUAAAGGGGAAGUUGGGCCUAAGGGAGAAAGAGGGAGGAGAGGCAGAGGAAAGCCUUGUCAGAGAGGCGUCCCAGGAAUUCCUGGACAAAGAGGGCUGGAUGGUGAGAUGGGGCUGGAAGGACGGAAAGGGGAGAAAGGAGAUAAAGGUCUUACAGUGAGUAACAAACGUAGAAGAGGUGAAGGACCUGGUGAGCAAAGAAGUCGUGGAAAAGUGUGGGAAAGAUCAAGCGUAUCUUCUUGUGAAGAGCACCAAAGAUCCAGAAGAAAAGAGUGUUCUGAAAGAGGACAAGAGAAAGGAGGAGUUUCCUCUCACUCACACUGAUGAGGAGAAAGAGAAGCAAAUUGCUUCACCAACCGUUUCACACAUCGAGACAAAUUUACUAUAUGACAAUAUCACAGGGGCUGAAAACCAGGAAACAAAGCAGACUCCGAGAGAUCGAAGACAUGCCCUCAAGGUUACAACAGCAUCUGCCUCAGAGGUCUGUCUGGAGCCGAUGUCCGAGGGCCACUGCUCCGAGUACGUGUUGCUCUGGUACUUCCACCCAAGCUCUGGAGCAUGCCGGCCCUUUAUCUACAGCGGCUGUGGAGGAAACAGAAACCGAUUCAGCACAAAACAUGGCUGUCAGACUUACUGCAGUCUGGAGCAGAGAGAUCCUCGGUCCUGAUGACAGCACUCACUGAAGCGCAGUCAUUUCGUCCAGUGAUUAAUGUCAUUUUUUUGUAUAUUUUCUCACUUUUCUCACUUAUUAGUUCCUUUUUUUUUCAAUUUGAUUUUAUCUAUUUGGAGUUGUCUUGAAUGUAUUUUGAUUUUUCCAUCAUGUUUACAUACUAAGAGCCUUACGUUGUUGCACUGUGAUACCAGUAUGCAAUUAUUAAUUAUACUGUAUGCCUUCGCUCUGUGAAGUCUGAUCGAAGUCCAAACACUUAUUGUACCGUUUCAAUGCAAUUAAACAGCCCUGUUUAUUUAAAAAUGAUUAAACUUCAGCAAGUUCA